rnacentral:rRNA from 1 species
CAAUGGUCGAAAGUCUGACCGCGCAACGCCGCGUGUAGGAUAUAAGCUUUUCAGAGUGUAAAACUACUGUGGUAGGGGAAGAAGGUGAGCCGCAAGGUUCAUUUGACGGUACCCUGCUAGAAAGGAGCCGCUAACUGCGUGCCAGAAGCGUCGGUAAUACGUGGACUCCAAGCAUUAUCCGGUUUUAUUGGGCGUAAAGGGUCGUGUAGGCGGUUUGAUAAGUUAUCUUUGAAAUUCCAAUGCUUAACAUUGGAAUUGGGGAUAAAACUAUCAAACUAGAGUUUUCUUUAGGGGGAUUGGAACUGAAGGAGGAGUAGUGAAAUGCGUUGAUACCUUCGGGAACACCAAUGGCGAAGGCAGAUCCCUGGGAGAAAACUGACGCUGAGACACGAAAGCUAGGGGAGCGAAGCAGAUUAGAGACCUGCGUAGUCCUAGCCCUAAACGAAUGUCUGCUACCUGCAUGUCGUACCUUCGGGUAUAACGUGUGGGAAAGGUAACCCGUUAAGCAGACCGCCUGGGGAGUACGACCCGCAAGGUUAAAACUCAAAGGAAUUGGCGGGGAGGCACACAAACCAGUGGAACAUGUGGUUCAAUUCGAUACGAACCGAAGAACCUCACCAAGGUUUGACAUGCUAGCGUCCAGCUCUGUGGAAACAUGGAGUGUUCGCAAGAAGGCUAGCACAGGUGCUGCAUGGCUGUCGUCAGCUCGUUCCGUGAGGAGUGCCCUUAAGUGGGACAACGAGCGCAACCCCUAUCUUGUGUUAAAUCUGUCACAAGAAACGGUCCCGACUUUGCCGGGAAGGAAGGAGGGGCAGACGUCAAGUCAGCAUGGUCCUUAUACCUUGGGCUACACACAUGUUACAAUGUA